GGAAGUGGGUUUUUGGUGACAGCAUUCGCAAUUAUUUCAGACAGAAUAACGACAACAAAGGCAGAUUGAUAACAAUUAAUUCUUACAAUCGUCUCAAAUAAAUUAAUAAACUCUGAAUCGGAAAAAGAGCACAGUCUGCCAUGCUGACAUUUGCAGGUUAGUGCGUAUAUAUCCAAAUUGCACGGAUCUGUUAGUUGUGGACAGCUGAUUAAUGAUCAAUUGGGCAGCAGGACGAGAAGAUCCAAGGUGCAGACUAUUUUGGCCACAAAGAUGUUGCUGGUCAGUGCAUGAAGGUCCUGUGUGAAGUCUUCAAGGAGCAGGAGUUCCUAGAGAAAGUGAAGUACUUUGUGAUGUGGUAGAGCAGACAUGUGGUCUCAGAUGUCAUACGUCUUUGUGAAGACUGGAGGCAACGGGAGGCCUAUGACAUCAUCACUGAUGAUGUUCUUUGCUGGUUAGGAAACCAACAGAAACAUUCCUAUUUGAGUGGCGUCCGUGAAGCAAGUAAAAACGACUGACUGUGUAGCUCAGUUGGUAGAGCAUGGCGCUUGUAACACCAGGGCAGUGGGUUCGAUCCCCGGGACCACCCAUACGUAGAAUGUAUGCACACAUGACUGUAAGUCGCUUUGGAUAAAAGCGUCUGCUAAAUGGCAUAUAUAAAAUCGCCUUACCUGUGAGCAGUCAGUCACACAAUACCAGCAUGACUACAUCUCAGUCGUACAGAGCAACACUUCAGUUCCUCACUCAACUGAGUCACUACGCUUUUAAGUGGUGUUUUCAACCAGUGUGUACUGUACCUCUUGUGUGAGCAGAGAUGACCAAUCCUUCUGUAGCUCAGUUGGUAGAGCAUGGCGCUUGUAACGCCAGGGCAGUGGGUUCGAUCCCCGGGACCACCCAUACGUAGAAUGUAUGCACACAUUACUGUAAGUCGCUUUGGAUAAAAGCGUCUGCUAAAUGGCAUAUAUUAUUAUUAUAUUAUUGUAAUGCGGAAAUGUUAUGGACAUUGAAUCAAUGUGGAAAACUGAUUGGAUUUGCACAAAUUAACAUAAGAGAAUUUCAUAAUUUUCUUACCCAGCUUUUAACCUAAAUGUAAUGACAUUACGAAAUGUUUUGUUGAUUUCACGUUAGUUGACAACUAGACAUGGAACUGACGUCUGUGCCCAGUGGGACACUUCGUGUUGGUUUAGUUGGAGAUCACUGUAAUAAGAAAUUAAAAGAUUGGCAGCGCAAGUAUGCUUCUAAACAAUGAAUUUUGAUGUACAAAUGGACAUACAGUAUUUCUGUUAUAUGUGGAUUGUUUGUCAAUAACUAUUUAGUGAGGUGCAUGCUAAUGUCGUGCACACAUCAAUAGCUUUCAAAGUUCCAAUGUGUUAGUACAAUGAGCACUUAACUGUUGAAGUAAUAAAAGUUGAUAACUUAAAUGGAUAAAUGAGUACUUUUGCAGUAGCACUUUUGUGUUUUAUAAUGAUGAAUUCAUUAAUUAUAAUUUCUGUUUUCAGAACAAAACUGGGCCUGAAUAUACUUUAAAUUACCAAGAUAGAACUGCCAAAGGGGAAUGAGUUGCAAUCUACUGCAGAGGUAGCCUGCAAAGGUUUGUCAUACUUUCCAGGUUGAUGCCCAGUUAGAGCUUCUAAUUUAAAAAAAUGAAACUCUCCAGAAAUAAGUCUCUCCCUGUUGCCGCCUUUUCUAGACCCCCCCUCAGCUCCCAGCUGUGCCCUGGACACCAUAUGUGAAUUGAUUGCCCCCAGUCUAUCUUCAGAGGUUGUUCUGUUGGGUGACCUAAACUGGGAUAUGCUUAACACCUCGGCCGUCCUACAAUCUAAACUAGAUGCCCUCAAUCUCAAACAAAUUAUCAAGGAACCCGCCAGGUACAACCCUAAAUCCGCAAACAUGGGCAACCUCAUAGAUAUUAUCCUGACCAACUUGCCCUCCAAAUACACCUCUGCUGUAUUCAAUCAGGAUCUCAGCGAACACUGCCUCAUUGCAUGCAUCCGUUAUGGGUCCGUGGUCAAACGAACACCCCCAUCACUGUCGAACACUCCCUAAAACACUUCUGUGAGCAAGCCUUUCUAAUCGACAUGGCCCGGGUAUCCUGGAAGGAUAUUGACCUCAUCCCGUCAGUAGAGGAU